GACGAACGCUGGCGGCGUGCUUAACACAUGCAAGUCGAACGGAAAGGCUCUGCUUUUGUUGGGUGCUCGAGUGGCGAACGGGUGAGUAACACGUGAGUAACCUUCCCUUGACUUUGGGAUAACUUCAGGAAACUGGGGCUAAUACCGGAUAGGAGCUCCUGCUGCAGGGUGGGGGUUGGAAAGUUUCGGCGGUUGGGGAUGGACUCGCGGCUUAUCAGCUUGUUGGUGGGGUAGUGGCUUACCAAGGCUUUGACGGGUAGCCGGACUGAGAGGGUGACCGGCCACAGUGGGCCUGAGAUGCGGCCCAGACUCAUACGGGAGGCAGCAGUGGGGAAUAUUGCACACUGGGCGGAAGCAUGAUGGAGCAACGCCGCGUGCGGGAUGACGGCCUUCGGGUUGUAACCCGCUUUCGACUGUGACGAAGAGUGAGUGACGGUAAUGGGUAAAGAAGCAACGGCUAACUACGUG
rnacentral:rRNA from 1 species